rnacentral:rRNA from 1 species
AACGUAGGACGCAAGCGUUAUCCGGAAUUACUGGGCGUAAAGCGCGUGUAGGUGGUUGCAUAAGUCACUGUUGAAAGCUCCCGGCUAAACUGGGAGAGGUGCGGUGAGACUGUGCGGCUAGAGUAUGGGAGAGGGAUGCAGAAUUCCGGGUGUAGUGGUGAAAUGCGUAGAGAUCCGGAGGAAUACCAGAGGCGAAGGCGGCAUCCUGGCCUGAGACUGACACUGAGACGCGAAAGCAUGGGGAGCGAACGGGAUUAGAAACCCCCGUAGUCC